GGCUCCUUGAUUUAAAUAAAUAGGGAGUCGGACCUGCCCGGUGAAUUUUUAACGGCCGCGGUACCCUGACCGUGCGAAGGUAGCAUAAUAAUUUGCCCUAUAAUUGGGGGCUGGAAUGAAUGGUUUGACAAGAAUAGAGCUGUCUCUUCGUGAUUUUAUAGAAUUUAAUUUUCGGGUUAAAAAGCCUGAAUUAAAUUAAAAGACAAGAAGACCCUAUCGAGCUUUAAAAGACUUUUGAGGCUGCUUUUAUAUUUAUAAAAAAUUUGCUUGAAAUUAUUUUGGUUGGGGCGACAAAGGAACAAAAGAAGCUUCUUUUAUAAUAUAUAAAUACAAUUAUUGACCCAAAAUAUUUUGGUUUAAGAAAUUAGUUACCGUAGGGAUAACAGCAUUAUCUUUUUUGAGAGUUCCCAUCGAAAAAAAGGUUUGUGACCUCGAUGUUGGACCAGAAUGUCUGUGAAUGAUGCAGCAU
rnacentral:rRNA from 1 species